UACAGGGGGGGCAAGCGUUGUUCGGAAUUACUGGGCGUAAAGGGCUCGUAGGCGCCAACUAAGUCACACGUGAAAUCCCCAGGCUUAACCUGGGAACUGCGUGUGAUACUGGAUGGCUCGAGUUUGGGAGAGGGAUGCGGAAUUCCAGGUGUAGCGGUGAAAUGCGUAGAUAUCUGGAGGAACACCGGUGGCGAAGGCGGCAUCCUGGACCAACACUGACGCUGAUGAGCGAAAGCCAGGGGAGCAAAGCGGG
rnacentral:rRNA from 1 species